rnacentral:lncRNA from 1 species
UGUGGCUCGAUCAACCGGAUUAUUGAUCUAAAAAAUACAAUAAGAUAGUCAUAUGAUGAAUGAUAAUUUCAAUAUUCAAUAAACACCAGGCAUGUGGUACAUUCAAUACUUAUUUAGAUUAUUGGACACAUUAUCAUGUGCCUUAAUGGGAGGCUAUGAACCAAUCCCCAUAACUGUAUCAUUUUAAGGACCUAAUAAUUUAGAGAAUUUGAUUCAAUA